rnacentral:rRNA from 1 species
UUUAGAGUUUGAUCCUGGCUCAGGACGAACGCUGGCGGCGUGCUUAACACAUGCAAGUCGAACGAUGAACCGCUUUCGGGCGGGGAUUAGUGGCGAACGGGUGAGUAACACGUGGGCAAUCUGCCCUGCACUCUGGGACAAGCCCUGGAAACGGGGUCUAAUACCGGAUAUGACCGUCUGCCGCAUGGUGGAUGGUGUAAAGCUCCGGCGGUGCAGGAUGAGCCCGCGGCCUAUCAGCUUGUUGGUGAGGUAGUGGCUCACCAAGGCGACGACGGGUAGCCGGCCUGAGAGGGCGACCGGCCACACUGGGACUGAGACACGGCCCAGACUCCUACGGGAGGCAGCAGUGGGGAAUAUUGCACAAUGGGCGAAAGCCUGAUGCAGCGACGCCGCGUGAGGGAUGACGGCCUUCGGGUUGUAAACCUCUUUCAGCCAGGGAAGAAGCGAAAGUGACCGUAC